rnacentral:tRNA from 1 species
GGGCCUGUAGCUCAAUUGGUUAGAGCCGGCGGCUCAUAACCGCUUGGUUGGGGGUUCGAGUCCCUCCGGGCCACCA